AGUGAACGCUGGCGGUAGGCCUAACACAUGCAAGUCGAACGGCAGCACCGUAAGAGCUUGCUCUUACGGGUGGCGAGUGGCGGACGGGUGAGGAAUACAUCGUAAUCUACUUUUUCGUGGGGGAUAACGUAGGGAAACUUACGCUAAUACCGCAUACGACCUACGGGUGAAAGCAUGGGAUCUUCUGACCUUGCGCGAUUGAAUGAGCCGAUGUCGGAUUCGCUAGUUGGCGGGUUAAAGGCCCACCAAGGCGACGAUCCGUAGCUGGUCUGGGAGGCUGAUCAGCCACACUGGAGCUGAGACACGGUCCAGACUCCUGCGGGAGGCCGCAGUGGCGAAUAUUGGACAGAGGGCGCAAGCCUGAUCCAGCCAUACCGCGUGGGUGAAGAAGGCCUUCGGGUUGUAAAGCCCUUUUGUUGGGAAAGAAAAGCAGCAGGUUAAUACCCCGCUGUUCUGACGGUACCCAAAGAAUAAGCACCGGCUAACUUCGUG
rnacentral:rRNA from 1 species